rnacentral:tRNA from 1 species
GCUACUGUAGCUCAGCUGGCAGAGCAGUGCACUCGUAACGCACAGGCCAAGGGUUCGAGCCCCUUCAGUAGCUCCA